rnacentral:lncRNA from 1 species
UCCAAUUUGAAUCUGUUUUGCCUGUGACAGUAUUUGCUGAGUGAUAUCUCCCGGACCUUAUCUCAGCUGCUGAAUCUUUGUUAUAUUUUCUCUCCCCUGCCCAGCUGAGAAGUGGAGUAAUAAAGCAGCUUUGGUGAGUGUCUGGAGUCCAGCCAGGGACAACUCACUCAAAUGUCAAUGACAUUUUGGAAACUCAAAGUCACAGGCACCCUGUAUUACCAAACCUCUGUGUGUGACUUAUGGAAAUGGAUUUGAUUGGUGUGCAAGCUAAUAAAAUAAGUCACUAGAUUACUGAUGAUCAUGAGUGAAGAUAUAGAAGAAUGAAGAUACAGAAGAGUGAAGAUGUCAAGUAAUGCAUAAUUAAAAUGACUGAUUCAUGAUCAAGGCACUAUUUUCACUUCCUGCACUGAGGAAUCCUUCCCCAGAAAUUGAUAUUCCAGAGGAAAUUGGCUACCAGCAGCAUGAAGCUAUCUAAAGAAAAAGCUACAUCCGCUGAGGUGAAGUUUAAGACGGUGUUCCACAUGGUUUGUUUUAAAACGUAUUUUAUGUGUGAGGCUUAGUUGCAUUUUUCAUUCCUAUAAACUGUGCUCUAAAACUAUAAAACAUACUGCUGCUUGAAAAAAACCUGUUAUUUUUCUGUGUAGGCAUUUUUUGAAGCUAUUGUCUUUGUGUAAUGAUGCAAAUUUAUGAAUUAUACUAACUUGUUUAAAAAGAUAUCAAUCUGCUUAUGUGGCUGUAAUCAUUAUUGAUAUUUUUCUCUUUUUUGGAGUGUGAUGCAAGACCAAAACUAUCGAUUUCACUGUUGUAUGGCAAGGUACAGGGAUGCUCCAUUGAAGCAUUUGCUUUUCUAUAUAGAUUCUAUGAAAUGAAAAAUUCUGCCUGAAUGUAAAACUUCAUAAUUGAGAUUCUAUAAGAUAUUUCAGAAGUAAUUUUAAGUGUUGUGACUAAGACUGUUUAUAAUAUUAAAAAAAUCAUCAAAACAGGAAGUCAUUUGUCUUUCUCUAAAAUGGAAAUUCUGCAAAUGGCUGGGAUAGGAGUUCUAACCUCUGUCUAAAAGAAAGCAGAGUAAGAUUUUUCUGAACUUUCUUAUAAUUUUGUUUAAAGCGUAGCUGUGCCUACAAAACCAUAUUCACAACACAGAGGACAAACACAGCUAUAAAUGUAUUUUUUAAUGUCAGUCUAGAUUUCUUAAGAUUUAGAUCUAGGUUGUUUAAUAGAUAACAAUUUAUUUGUUCU